CGUCUGUAUCAUGUUGAAAUCCCAGUUCCCGUACGAUCAACGAAGUUAAGCAUCAUCGAACCUGGUCACUACUUAGAUGGGUGACCGCUUGCGAAUACCAGGGGUUGUAAG